rnacentral:rRNA from 1 species
UCGAGGGGCAGCAUUUUAGUUUGCUUGCAAACUGAAGAUGGCGACCGGCGCACGGGUGAGUAACACGUAUCCAACCUGCCGAUAACUCCGGAAUAGCCUUUCGAAAGAAAGAUUAAUACCGGAUGGCAUACGAAUAUCGCAUGAUAUUUUUAUUAAAGAAUCUCGGUUAUCGAUGGGGAUGCGUUCCAUUAGUUUGUUGGCGGGGUAACGGCCCACCAAGACUACGAUGGAUAGGGGUUCUGAGAGGAAGGUCCCCCACAUUGGAACUGAGACACGGUCCAAACUCCUACGGGAGGCAGCAGUGAGGAAUAUUGGUCAAUGGGCGAGAGCCUGAACCAGCCAGGUAGCGUGAAGGAUGAAGGCUCUAUGGGUCGUAAACUUCUUUUAUAUGGGAAUAAAGUUUUCCACGUGUGGAAUUUUGUAUGUACCAUAUGAAUAAGGAUCGGCUAACUCCGUGCCAGCAGCCGCGGUAAUACGGAGGAUCCGAGCGUUAUCCGGAUUUAUUGGGUUUAAAGGGAGCGUAGGUGGAUUGUUAAGUCAGUUGUGAAAGUUUGCGGCUCAACCGUAAAAUUGCAGUUGAAACUGGCAGUCUUGAGUACAGUAGAGGUGGGCGGAAUUCGUGGUGUAGCGGUGAAAUGCUUAGAUAUCACGAAGAACUCCGAUUGCGAAGGCAGCUCACUAGAC